GAAUCUUCCGCAAUGGACGCAAGUCUGACGGAGCAACGCCGCGUGAGUGAUGAAGNUUNNCGGAUNGNAAAACUCUGUUGUUANNNNNGAACAAGUACCGUUCGAAUAGGUCGGUACCUUGACGGUACCUAACCAGAAAGCCACGGCUAACUACGUGCCAGCAGCCGCGGUAAUACGUAGGUGGCAAGCGUUAUCCGGAAUUAUUGGGCGUAAAGCGCGCGCAAGCGGUUUCUUAAGUCUGAUGUGAAAGCCCACGGCUCAACCGUGGAGGGUCAUUGGAAACUGGGGAACUUGAGUGCAGAAGAGGAGAGUGGAAUUCCAUGUGUAGCGGUGAAAUGCGUAGAGAUAUGGAGGAACACCAGUGGCGAAGGCGACUCUCUGGUCUGCAACUGACGCUGAGGCGCGAAAGCGUGGGGAGCAAACA
rnacentral:rRNA from 1 species